rnacentral:piRNA from 1 species
UAGUUUUACUUUCCGUCUUACUUUUCAAAA